GCCAAGUCUCAAAUCCUUGUAUGAGUUACAACCAAUCAUUCUUUCAGAGUUUUAACUCAUUUUAUAUGUACAGGAAAUCGGUAGGAUUAGGGUUUUUGUCUGGGGGGUUUUUUCAACCUCAAGACAUAAAGAAAAGAAGACAGUGUUUUUCACACAGCAUUAUGGAAUUACCAUUGCUUUUAUACGCCAAUCAAUUGUUUUAGUACAUCAACUUAGGAAAUGAAGCCAAGUUCAUUUAAGGCCUUCAUAACAGGAAU
rnacentral:misc_RNA from 1 species